CCUACGGGAGGCAGCAGUGGGGAAUAUUGCACAAUGGGCGAAAGCCUGAUGCAGCAACGCCGCGUGAGUGAUGAAGGUCUUCGGAUUGUAAAGCUCUGUCUUUUGGGACGAUAAUGACGGUACCAAAGGAGGAAGCCACGGCUAACUACGUGCCAGCAGCCGCGGUAAU
rnacentral:rRNA from 1 species